rnacentral:lncRNA from 1 species
AUGAUAAGCUGUAGACCACAUUAUCUACAAAGAGAUUUCUCAUCUGUAUUAUUCGUAGCCGUCUAUUUACCACCACAAAGCAAAGCUGGCACUAAGACUGCUCUCAACCAACUCUAUAAGGCCUUAAGCAAAGAUGCCCACCCAGAAGCGGCGCUCCUGGUGGCCGGAGACUUUAAUGCAGGCAAACUUGUAUCAAUUUUACCAUAUUUUUAUGUCACGUGCAACCUUAGGGAAAAAAAAUCCUACACCACCUUUACUCCACACACAGAGAUGCAUACAAAGCUCUCCCCCGCCCUCCAUUUGUCAAAUCUGACUAGAUCUGUCCUCCUGAUUCCUGCUUACAAGCAAAAACUAAAGCAGGAAGUACCAGUGACUCGCUCAAUACAGAAGUGGUCCGAUGACGCGGAUGCGACACUAAAGGACUGUUUUGCUUGCACAGACUGGAAUAUGUUCCGAGAUUCAUCCAAUGACAUUGAGGAAUGCACCACCUCAGUCAUCGGCUUCAUCAAUAAGUGCAAUGAUGACGUCGUCCCCACAGUGACUGUACGUACGUAUCCCAACCAGAAGCCAUGGAUUACAGGCAACAUCCACAUCGAGCUAAAGGCUAGAGCUGCCGCUUUCAAGGAGCGGGAGACUAAUCCGGAUGCUUAUAAGAAAUCCCGCUAUGCCCUCAGACGAACCAUCAAACAAGCAAAGAGUCAAUACAGGAUUAAGAUUGAAUCCUACUACACUGGCUCUGAUGCUCAUAGGAUGUGGCAAGGCUCUAAAACUAUUUCGAACUACAAAGGGAAACCCAGACACGAGCUGCCCAGUGAAGCGAGCCUACCAGACGAGCUAAAUGCCAUUUAUGCUCACUUCGAGGCAAGCAACACUGAAGCAUGCACGAGACAACCAACUGUUCUGGAUGACUGUGUGGUAACGCUCUCGGUAGCUGAUGUGAAAAGACCUUUAAACAGGUCAACAUUCACAAAGCUGCUGGGCCAGAAGGAUUACCAGGACAUGUACUCAAAGCAUGCACGGACCAACUGUCAAGUGUCUGAAAGUGUCAGGGGUGUGUGCUUAGUUAUCUCCUGUAUUCCCUGUUCACCCACAACUGCGUGGUCAAACACGACUCCAACACCAUCAUUAAGUUUGCUGACAACACAACAGUGUUCACCGACAACGAUGAGACGGUCUAUAGGGAGGAGGUCAGAGAACUGGCAGUGUGGUGCCAGGACAACAACCUCUCCCUCAAUGUGA